GGCAGUCAGAGGCGAUGAAGGACGUGCUAAUCUGCGAUAAGCGUCGGUAAGGUGAUAUGAACCGUUAUAACCGGCGAUUUCCGAAUGGGGAAACCCAGUGUGUUUCGACACACUAUCAUUAACUGAAUCCAUAGGUUAAUGAGGCGAACCGGGGGAACUGAAACAUCUAAGUACCCCGAGGAAAAGAAAUCAACCGAGAUUCCCCCAGUAGCGGCGAGCGAACGGGGAGCAGCCCAGAGCCUGAAUCAGUAUGUGUGUUAGUGGAAGCGUCUGGAAAGGCGCGCGAUACAGGGUGACAGCCCCGUACACAAAAAUGCACAUGCUGUGAGCUCGAUGAGUAGGGCGGGACACGUGGUAUCCUGUCUGAAUAUGGGGGGACCAUCCUCCAAGGCUAAAUACUCCUGACUGACCGAUAGUGAACCAGUACCGUGAGGGAAAGGCGAAAAGAACCCCGGCGAGGGGAGUGAAAAAGAACCUGAAACCGUGUACGUACAAGCAGUGGGAGCACGCUUAGGCGUGUGACUGCGUACCUUUUGUAUAAUGGGUCAGCGACUUAUAUUCUGUAGCAAGGUUAACCGAAUAGGGGAGCCGAAGGGAAACCGAGUCUUAACUGGGCGUUAAGUUGCAGGGUAUAGA
rnacentral:rRNA from 1 species